rnacentral:rRNA from 1 species
ACGCUCGACACCUACGGGAGGCAGCAGUGGGAAUAUUGCACAAUGGGGGAAACCCUGAUGCAGCGACGCCGCGUGAAGGAAGAAGUAUCUCGGUAUGUAAACUUCUAUCAGCAGGGAAGAAAGUGACGGUACCUGACUAAGAAGCCCCGGCUAACUACGCACCAGCAGCCGCGGUAAUCUGAGCGGGCUGGCAAGGC